rnacentral:rRNA from 1 species
CAAUAGCGUAUAUUAAAGUUGUUGCAGUUAAAAAGCUCGUAGUUGGCUUUCUGGUGGGAGCGAUCGGUCUGGCGCUUAGCGCGAGUACUUGCAUCGUCUCCGGCCAUCCUUGGGGAGAGUCUGUCUGGCAUUAGGUUGUCGGGCAGAGGAUCCUCAUCGUUUACUGUGAAAAAAUUAGAGUGUUCAAAGCAGGCUUAUGCCGUUGAAUAUAUUAGCAUGGAAUAAUAAGAUAGGACUUUGGUACUAUUUUGUUGGUUUGCGCACCAAAGUAAUGAUUAAUAGGGACAGUUGGGGGUAUUCGUAUUCCGUUGUCAGAGGUGAAAUUCUUGGAUUUACGGAAGACGAACUACUGCGAAAGCAUUUACCAAGGAUGUUUUCAUUAA